AGAAAUACAGAUGCAAAAGCAGGACAUGGAUAAAUGAGAGAAGAUAAGGUGUAGCUCCUGCAAGCAGAACAUGCUGUCUUCGAGAUGGGCUUCCUGAGACUCAUGCCCUCCAGCGCUGCUUGUUGACCUCUCCUUCAAACACAGGACUUGGAGGGAUCUUCACAAUGGCCAAACCACUCUGGACCUACAUGGUUGUGAACAAUCUAGUCAUGCCCCCAUCAGAGUUUACAGUGAUGCAUUUUUCACUAACAAAUUAUAUUCUGCUGAGACCAGAACAUUUUGCAGGUACUUACCAGGUCUUACGAAGCUCUUACCUGUGAAAGGUUCUCAUGCCUAGGAUGAGACUUGAAAUACAUCAAAGAGCAAGAAAACUGUCACCCCUCCCAGAUAAUCAUCCUAUGAUCAAGGCACUGACUGGUGGCACAGGAAUCCAGAUUUCAAGUUUCUGUUCUGCAAGAUGUCUGAAUGUCAGAAUCCUGCAUCCCAGGCAAGCUUUCUGGCCACCAAACUACCGGUUAUUCUGAAGAAUAGCUUCCUCUGUCUCUCCUGUUGGACCUGUUUCACUUUGUAUAAAUAAUUAAACAUUAAUUGGAACAAGGACUUGAACUUAGGCUGCCCAUUGGACUAUUGCAUUGGUCUUUCUCCAGGCCAGUGAAUAGGUAACUAUUUGUGCAAACUUGGUAAGUUGUAGAGCAACAGAGGUAGCUGAGAGGGUCCCAAAAACUCAAGAAAAAGAAACCCAAAGACUUGUGAUAAAGUCAUUUAGUAAGCUACAAAACACCCGUUUGUCAGUCCUUGACUUGAAGGGGCAGAACAAGGACUAUUAGCUGUUCUAGGGGAGGCUUUGUCAAAUCAUCUCCAAAGGUCCUGCUUCCAUCAAAUUUAGAAAAGAGAUCGUAUUUGAAAGUCAUACUUUAUUUUCUGAAGUGAAAAAAAAACAAAUUUGUGUAGCUACAUGAUUCUCUAACAAAUCCUUUGCAAUAGGUUGAAGGUGUUAAGCAUCUUUAGUAUCAUGAUAGCUUGAUUCUUAAAGUUUCUGAAACCUCUGUCCCAGACAUGAAGAAGAACCUUACUGUUCCA